GUGCUAACUUCAGCACCUCACGCACUAAAAUUAGAGCCCCAGAGAAGAUUAGCGGUGCCCCUGUACAAGGCUGGCAUGCAAAUUAAUGAAUUGUCCUAUAGUUUU